rnacentral:misc_RNA from 1 species
ACGCUUGUUGUGAUUCAAAGCUUUUACUGUCUACAAAGUUUGUACCGAUAUAAGUAAUCUGGAUUUACAUGUUUGUAAGAGCAAUUAAUUUAUUUUGGUAUUUGAAUAUUUGCCUUUCCAAUUCACAGAAUGUUGUCAUUAUCAUGGUAGCUGAAUUUACCCAGUCUUUCAACCAUGACAUUUGUAAUAUAGCGGCAUUGAUGUGAACUUUUUGUUUGUUUGAGAAGAAUCAUGUAUAGGUGAAGCUUAUGUUACUUUAGACUGUUUUCUACAAGAAAACUUGGAACAACUGCGUUGUUAUAAUUGUCACGAAAUAAUUAGGAGCAUUGUAUAUUGUUGAUUGUACAUACAAGGUAUUUUCAUUCUGUAACAUAAUUCUUAAAUAUAUAUAUAUUUGUGUACAAAACUUUAUUAAGAUUGUCAUUCAUUGAAUGAUUGGUGCACCGAAUAAGGAGCUGAAUCAUUGCAGUCAUUUAUGUUUGAUGUUUGAUUAAAUAUUAACUUACCUAG